rnacentral:rRNA from 1 species
UACGUAGGGGGCUAGCGUUGUCCGGAAUCAUUGGGCGUAAAGAGCGUGUAAGCGGUCCGGUAAGUCCGCUGUGAAAGUCGGGGGCUCAACCCUCGAAUGCCGGUGGAUACUGUCGGGCUAGAGUACGGAAGAGGCGAGUGGAAUUCCUGGUGUAGCGGUGAAAUGCGCAGAUAUCAGGAGGAACACCAAUUGCGAAGGCAGCUCGCUGGGACGUUACUGACGCUGAGACGCGAAAGCGUGGGGAGCAAACAGG